GACGAACGCUGGCGGCGUGCUUAACACAUGCAAGUCGAACGGAAAGGCCCUGCUUUUGUGGGGUGCUCGAGUGGCGAACGGGUGAGUAACACGUGAGUAACCUGCCCUUGACUUUGGGAUAACUUCAGGAAACUGGGGCUAAUACCGGAUAGGAGCUCCUGAUGCAUGGUGGGGGCUGGAAAGUUUCGGCGGUUGGGGAUGGACUCGCGGCUUAUCAGCUUGUUGGUGGGGUAGUGGCUUACCAAGGCUUUGACGGGUAGCCGGCCUGAGUGGGUGACCGGCCACAUUGGGACUGAGAUACGGCCCAGACUCCUACGGGAGGCAGCAGUGGGGAAUAUUGCACAAUGGGCGGAAGCCUGAUGCAGCAACGCCGCGUGCGGGAUGACGGCCUUCGGGUUGUAAACCGCUUUCGCCUGUGACGAAGCGUGAGUGACGGUAAUGGGUAAAGAAGCACCGGCUAACUACGUG
rnacentral:rRNA from 1 species